UUAGGGUUCUUGAAAUUUUGUGGUCUAAAAAAAAUGAGAAUAUAUUGUUGACUCCAGAAUCCUCCUGUGUUUCUACUCUUCCUAGAAUGAGCUAAUAACUUCUAUUUCUUCUUUUAUUUUUUAAGGAGUUUCACAAAUAGUAAGACCUAUCAAUCAAGACGAUUCCUGACUAAGUAUGGUGUUGCCUUUACAACUGUACUCCUCACAGAAGGAUGCUCAACUUCAGCCUUCAUCCUACAGCCUUUGAGAAUGAAAAAUGCACCAUUUCCUACCAGUGAAUUAGCAAAAAACUCUGACUACAUUUCUGUGUAGAUCUCAGAGUUCAUGUAGCUCCAUUCUGAUGAGCACACUGGACAGAUUUCUGAAGAUCCCAAUUUAUCUAACUGUGGAGCACCGGACUGAGCUCCCAAAGUUCUGAUGAGGAGCGGAU